UUACCUCAACGGGCAAGGAAGACCAGAUGCGGAUACCGUCGUGCCGAGGGUUCCGUCGUGCCGAGGAUUGCGCGAUAAAGUCGCAAUCUUCAAAGCGAGCGAGCGAGCGCAAGGGUUCCGCCGUGCCGAGGAUUCCAGGGACACAGAGUUUUGACUCGGUCAGCACGAUCUUUUAUAUCAUAGGAAUUGAGCCGUGAGGUCGGCAUCUGAUGGUUGGAGUACUGAUAUGAGCGGAUUGUGCACGGAUUCGUCAGGCCACACAAUUAAUCGAGCCGUGCUUGGGUUUGACCUCAGUGAUUGUGAACUGAAUGUG